rnacentral:rRNA from 1 species
GACGAACGCUGGCGGCGUGCUUAACACAUGCAAGUCGAACGGAAAGGCCCUGCUUGCAGGGUACUCGAGUGGCGAACGGGUGAGUAACACGUGGGUGAUCUGCCCUGCACUUCGGGAUAAGCUUGGGAAACUGGGUCUAAUACCGGAUAGGAACCAUCUUUAGUGUGGUGGUUGGAAAGUUUUUUCGGUGUAGGAUGAGCUCGCGGCCUAUCAGCUUGUUGGUGGGGUAAUGGCCUACCAAGGCGGCGACGGGUAGCCGGCCUGAGAGGGUGUACGGCCACAUUGGGACUGAGAUACGGCCCAGACUCCUACGGGAGGCAGCAGUGGGGAAUAUUGCACAAUGGGCGCAAGCCUGAUGCAGCGACGCCGCGUGGGGGAUGAAGGCCUUCGGGUUGUAAACUCCUUUCGCUAGGGACGAAGCUUUUUUGUGACGGUACCUAGAUAAGAAGCACCGGCUAACUACG